AUCCAACUGAUGAGUCUCGAAUAAGACGAAAAGUGCGUCCUGGAU
rnacentral:hammerhead_ribozyme from 1 species